GUCAUUUCUGGAAGUGAGAAGGCAGCUGGUAGGGUAUACCUGCACCAUUUCUUUGUCUUUUUUGACGUUGCCUUUCUUCUCCUCCUUUAUUUUUACUCUUGUUAUAACCCCUUCUCUUCCUUCUCAUAUCAUUCUCAUUCACCCAUUCAUCAUCACAACCACACUGUCUUCUUUCUCUCUUUCUCUCUCUCUCUGACCCCCCUUGAAGAUAGCCGAAACUCAUGGGGGACACAGUGAGAAGAGAGUGAACCAUGAAAACAAAACCUUUUCUCUUUCUCUCUCUUUCUCUCCCUCUUAGCUCUUCAAGAAGAAGGGCCAUUUUUGGGAAGCUUUGUCUUUUGAGGGGAAUGUUGUCUGGCUCGAGGACCCUUCAUCUUCAUCUUGUGUAUCUGCAUCCCUCUCUUUUGUAGAGUGCUAUGCUUGUGCUCAAGGAAUGUAUAGUGUUGUCGGACCAGGCUUCAUUCCCCCCAAUUAUAUGCUUCCAAAUUGAUUUUCGGCCCAAAAUCGACAUAUCUUCCGGCUGAGAGCUACAAAUAUGUGGAUUCCUUUUCCUUCACAAACUGGUGUUUUUCUCAACGGAUAUUAUUUCGUGGAGAUCGAGCCGUGGCGAUGUAGUGUGUUUGUAGCAUCUGCUGAUGAAAUGCUUUAUAGGUUUGCUUGGUAUCUCCUCUAUGUUUUUUUGGAACUGUGGAUUAGUGUAAAAGUUUUGUUUUUUUCUUAAAUAUAGGUAGAUCUUAGUCGUGGGGUUGGGUUCUUGGAUGAAUUAAAGAUGGUGGUAGUUUGCAGAUUGGUGUAAUGAUGAAGCAUUUUGACCCGGUUUUCACUUGGCAAAAGGUUUUCAUCAUUACCUCCUUUUCGUUUCUUUCUUUUUCUCUGAUCAAGUUAUGAUGGUGUUUUUGUUGUCAGGGCGUAACUACCUUUUUUUUCUUUCAUCUUCAUCAUUAGCUAGAUCUUCUCCCAAUUAUGUUUUCCAGUAUCCGAUCUGUCUGUCUCUGCCAUGUUUUCUCAGAUCUGGCCAACUUUGAAACUCAGUUAGACAUUCUCCUCUUUUUCAAGUCCCCCUCCCACCCUUCUUUUUCCAUUUUUUUCUUUCUCUCUCUACCUGAUUCCUCUCUCACUCUCUCUUUAGGGUUUCGUGGCCUAUGUUCUGUCUCUAAUCUCCAUCGCUUAGCUGGUCCUGGAGUCUUUGAUGAAGAAGCAAAUAGCUGAUCCCUUUUAUCAGUAUUAUUAUGAUUAUUAGUCAUUUCACCAUUGUAAAACCGUAUGGUCAAAUCGAGGCCUAAUUAAUUUGGUUAAAUGUGCCAUGUGUUACUGGCAUGCAUAUGAUUCAAGAGCCUUGUAGACUCCGCCCUUUCUCUUUAUUGGAGUCUUCUCCUUCUGUCUAUUAAGCAUUUAUCAAUCCUGUGAUUUUUUUUUCAUCUAUGUUCGAUACUAAAUUACAGAUCCUUAAAUCUUUUCUUGUUAUUGUGGGUAGCAUUUACCUUCCUUUCAUGGGUUCUGUAAUGUCACACGCUCAGAUCUACAUUUUUCUCUGUUUGCUUUGUCGUUCGUUUUCAUAUCAAUUUGUAAUUAAAAAUUAAUAGAUCUGAGCACCACCAGUACAGAAUAGAAAAACCUUUUUGAAGUAUGGCUGUAUUUUCUUGUCUGUGCUGCUGAACCUUGUGAGUUUUUCAAUGGGCAACUUUAAAUUUUCCGUCUUUUUAACAUAUCUCAUUUGAUAGCUGAAACCCUAAUUUCCUGCACGAUCAAUAAGAAACAACGUGCAAGAUGGUUCCUUUCGUAUCGGUCUAGUUUUGAUGUUGGCAGAGAAGAAGCAAAGACAAAACGAAACUCCCAUCAUUAAUAGUUACAGUUCUUCGAGGAAAAGGUAAUUAAUUUGUUUAUUAAGGAUAAUGAAUGUUGAUCAUUACAAUUGAUAAGCAUUACAAUUGCGCAUUUUAGCCCUCCCUCUGAUCACAGAAGCAGCAAAAGAAAGUGAAUGCUUCGUUAGGAAGCAAAGAUAUCUUAUGCAGGUCAGUGUUUGAGCAACUGUACAUUGUCCCAGAAGGCAUCAUUGCAGUGUUACCGAGGAUUUGGAAGACACUACAGCAUCAUAUUAAGCUUGAUUCAGAAUAGAAGACAAAAAGAGUCUGCACAUAGCGAGGGGCAUUGGGGAACACGAAUGACAUAAUCACAGUGCUCAAAGCUCAUACAGCACUACUUUUCUUUGUCACCAUUGUUGUUCAAUAUUCAUACUUGCACGCAAAUGUGAACACUUUAUUAUUUUCAACGCAACUCAUGUAUCCAACCAAAGUCUCUUGCUAGAAUUAAUAUAUAUCAUUUGAAUUUUCAUUUUUGAUUUGAAA